UUUUUAAAAAGCGUCAUGCCCUAGUCUGAUGCAGCCCCCGCACCAGGCCCUAUAUGGGAGCAAGGUGAGCAAGGGCUCAGGGGAAGCCACUCCCCUCCCCUUGGUCUGCUACAAAUUGCCCAGGUCCUGCCCUCAGACUCCUAGCAGUUGAAAAUUGUUGAACUUGGUUGCUCCAACGAGCUUCUUCCAGAUCUUCAGUGUAAUAGACACAGCCAAUCUGGAUUGAGGACUGGAGUCUACACCGCCGUGAACCACUGGAGUUGUCAGAUGAAGGUGGCAGAAUGGAGAGAAGUAUCAGGCAUAAGCUACAGUCAUAUAAACCUUGAUACAGAUGUGAAUUGGUUUUGCACGUGGAUACCCACUUGUUCCAGCACCAUUUGUUAAAAAGACAAGUUUUUCUUCAUUGUAUUGCCUGUGGCCUUUUGUGAAAUACCAGUUGACUAUGCAGGCAUACCUCAGAG
rnacentral:lncRNA from 1 species